rnacentral:rRNA from 1 species
GAUGAACGCUGGCGGCGUGCCUAAUACAUGCAAGUCGAGCGAACGGACGAGAAGCUUGCUUCUCUGAUGUUAGCGGCGGACGGGUGAGUAACACGUGGAUAACCUACCUAUAAGACUGGGAUAACUUCGGGAAACCGGAGCUAAUACCGGAUAAUAUUUUGAACCGCAUGGUUCAAAAGUGAAAGACGGUCUUGCUGUCACUUAUAGAUGGAUCCGCGCUGGAUUAGCUAGUUGGUAAGGUAACGGCUUACCAAGGCAACGAUGCAUAGCCGACCUGAGAGGAUGAUCGGCCACACUGGAACUGAGACACGGUCCAGACUCCUACGGGAGGCAGCAGUAGGGAAUUUUGCGCAAUGGGGGAAAGCCUGACGGAGCCAUGCCGCGUGAGUGAUGAAGGUCUUCGGAUUGUAAAACUCUGUUAUUAGGGAAGAACAUAUGUGUAAGUAAAUGUGGAGAUGUUGACGGUACCUAAUCAGAAAGCCACGGCUAACUACGUG